AAGCAACCAGCCCUGAAAAUGGAUGGCGCUUUAGCGUUCUGCCUAUACCCAACCGCUAGAAUGGAGCUGGCACCUCGGUGCAGAGCCCGUAUAUUCUAGUGAGUAAGGAGGUGUAAUGGUAAGCAUUGAAGGGUCUGGGUGUAAACCUGCCUGGAGCUGCCAUUGGCACAAGAUCUUGGUGGUAGUAGCAAAUACUCAAGUGAGACUCUUGAGGGCUGACGUGGAGAAGGGUUCCAUGUGAACAGCAAUUGCACAUGGGUGAGUCGUUCCUAAGCCAAAGGCGAAAGCCACGCUCAUAAACUUGUGGCCACAUGAAUGAAAAAUGAGUUCCGAAUGACUAAGUCAACUCAUUCAACAGUUGAGUCCGACUGGAGCCGGUCGGUGGGCAACUGCCAUAAUGAGAAAAAGUGACUUUGGUCUGUGAAGAGCGAAUUAUUAUCGAGUGAGCCUGCAAGGAGUUUGGCGAAAGGGAAUCCGGUACUCAUUCCGGAACCUGGACAUGAGGAGUAGUGUUGCUUUAUGCAUCACAUAGCCGCAAGGCGUUUACCAUCCUGGAGAAUCCAACUAGAGAGCUGGGAAGAGUUGUCUUUUCUGCUUAAGGGGAGAAGGGCCUUGUGAACUGGGUCGGUCAGAGAGAGGGUCUUUUCCCCGAAUAGCACCGCGGUUCUUGCGGAGUCCAGCUUCUCUGGUAUGGAACUUGAAAAUCCAGGGGUAAGAUGAAAUACCUUCAUGCCAGUACGUACGCAUAUCCGCAUCCGGUCUCCAAGGUGAACAGCCUCUUGCCGAUAGAUGAAUGUAUG
rnacentral:rRNA from 1 species